rnacentral:lncRNA from 1 species
CCUGGGGCCAAGGGGCACCAUGCCUUCCAAAGAGGUAGCCAGACCUGGCCAGUUCCUCAAAGUCAGACAGGUCCUUAGGCUGAGCCAGACCCUCGCUGCAGCCAGCCCUCUGUCUGCUAUUUACUUGCUGCCUGUUUUCCUCGUGACAGGCCUUCCAAGAACAUCAGAUCAAUGCAGCAGGUUCUGGUGCCCACAGCUCUCAGCCUUCCUCCCAUUGCCAAGGUUCAGCUGCUGCUUCCUGAAAGGCUGGGCAGGGGCUGAGCCACAUGAAAGCACAGCCCAGUGUGGGGGUGAGUCCUCAGCCCCCUGUCCCAGCUCAAGGCCUCGGGCAGAGGAGUCCAGGAGAGAAUGAACAGAGACACCCACCGUGGAAAGCAGGGUGUGCUCAGGAAGCCUGUCCUGCCCCACAUCCAGGGAGCACAUCAUGAACAGCUGGCAGGUCACACAGAGCUUGAGGAGGUGGUACAACCACUUUGGACAGACACUUGACAGCAGCUAUACUAAAGGAAAACGGAAGAACAAAUAGGGGAACACAGGACUCACACCACAGAAUGCUGGCCAGCAAUACCACAUAACACAGGUGAAUCUCAAGAAUACAAUGUUGAAAGAAGCCAGACAAACCAAGAAGCACCGGAUGGCUCCCAACAGGCAAAACUGAUCUGGGCUGUAAGAAGUUAGCACGCAAUCAUCCUUGGGGUGAGGUGGCUGGAAACCAUGGGAAGGGAACGAAGGGUGUUCAGAUGGGCCAGGGAGGUUCAGUUGUGACAAUUAGUCAAGCUGAACAUACACUGAUCUGUGCCCUUCUCUGUAUGCUUAUUACAUGUUGACAAAAGGUCUAAAGAAACUGGUAUUUAUCUCAGAAGUAGAUUUCUGUUUUCUUUUUAUCUGUUCUUUCUAUAAUUGCCACACCAAACAUACUUUAUUUUUCAAUGAAUGAAUAAGAUGACAACAAAUGCAGUUACUCAUUCAUCAAAAUUGUGCAGUGCAGGACACUGGAGGGCGGGAGUGUCCCUGCCCUGAAGGAGCUCAUAGUCUUGGUGGGGCUGAGGAAAGGAUGUGAGUACAACCAGC